UGUGCUUCCUGGUUGCCUGACACGAGGUAAUGCAGCCAUGCUGGCUGACCUGGGCAUGAGUGUUCACAGUGAGAAUGGGGCUCUGGGAAGAGGAGGAGCCAAUGAACACAGUAUUCCCUGGAUUGUAAACUGCACUGAAGGUUUAUAAAAACUUGGAGAAAACUUUGACUAAAGAGAUGAAGUCUCGCUAUGUUGUCCAGGCUGGCCUUGAACUCCUGGGCUAAGCAAUCUUCCCACCUCAGUCUCCCCAAGUGCUGGGAUUACAGGCCAGGAAGACUGGGCAGAGAAGAUCUGGAGUAGGGGAUAGCAAAGGAGAUUAAGAUCAAGAAAAUUAAGAAAGGCAGAGGAAAAUGAGAUAAAG